AUUCAACUGACGAGUCCCAAAUAGGACGAGACGCGUGUCCUAUGAAAU
rnacentral:hammerhead_ribozyme from 1 species